rnacentral:snRNA from 1 species
GGAUGUAAGGACUAUCUGGCUGCGAAAUCUGUCACCCCAUUGAUAACCAGGGUUGACUGGCUGAUCUGGCUGGCUAGACGGGUGUCCCCUUCCUCCCUCACCGCUCCAUGUGCGUCCCUCCUGAAGCUGUGUGCUCGGUCAAAGAGGACAGCCUUCCCGGAAUAGAGACAGUCCAUCUUUGGUGAAGGGUAUAUGAGGAGCUGUGCUCCCCUGCUAGAACCUCCAAACAAGCUCUCAAGAUCCAAGUUCAGUCUGUGGCAGCACAUGUACCAGAGUGAUACUCUGGUUCUCUUU